GGGUCCUUACAUGCUUAAAACCUGGGGUGAAUAGUCAACCUCUUGCAUGAGGAGUCACCUGAUUCCAUAGAAUUACUCCGGUGGAAUUAUUUUCCUUAAGAAUAAGCACCGGCUAACUACGUGCCCGCAACCGCCGUAAUACGUACGGUGCAAGCGUUAAUCGGAAUUACUGGGCCUAAACCGUGCGCCGGCGGCUUUUUAAAACCCAUGUGAAAUCCCCGGGCUCAACCUGGGAACUGCCUUCGUGACUGUAUAGCUAUAGUACGGCACAGGGGGAUUGAAUUCCCUGUGUAGCAGUGAAAUGCGUACAUAUUCGGAGGAACACCCAUGGCGAAGGCCAUCCCCUGGGCCUGUACUGACGCUCAUGCACCAAAACGUUGGGAGCAAACAGGAUUAGAUACCCUGGUCGUCCACGCCCUAAACCAUGUCCACUGGUUGUUGGCAACUCACUUACUCAAUAACCAAGCUAACCCGUCAAUUUGACCGCCUUUGGAGUACCGCCCCCAGGUUGAAACUCAAA
rnacentral:rRNA from 1 species